rfam:Mus musculus chromosome 11, GRC primary reference assembly.
GGGGAUUUAGCUCAGUGGUAGAGCACUUGCCUAGCAAGCGCAAGGCCCUGGGUCCAGUCCUCA